rnacentral:rRNA from 1 species
UGGGGAAUUUUGGACAAUGGGCGCAAGCCUGAUCCAGCAAUGCCGCGUGUGUGAAGAAGGCCUUCGGGUUGUAAAGCACUUUUGUCCGGAAAGAAAACCUCGUGGUUAAUACCCGUGGGGGAUGACGGUACCGGAAGAAUAAGCACCGGCUAACUACGUGCCAGCAGCCGCGGUAAUACGUAGGGUGCAAGCGUUAAUCGGAAUUACUGGGCGUAAAGCGUGCGCAGGCGGUUCGCUAAGACAGAUGUGAAAUCCCCGGGCUUAACCUGGGAACUGCAUUUGUGACUGGCGGGCUAGAGUAUGGCAGAGGGGGGUAGAAUUCCACGUGUAGCAGUGAAAUGCGUAGAGAUGUGGAGGAAUACCGAUGGCGAAGGCAGCCCCCUGGGCCAAUACUGACGCUCACGCACGAAAGCGUGGGGAGCAAACA